rnacentral:rRNA from 1 species
UGUACCCUACGGGGGGCAGCAGUGAGGAAUAUUGGUCAAUGGUCGGGAGACUGAACCAGCCAAGCCGCGUGAGGGAAGACGGUUUUCGGAUUGUAAACCUCUGUCCUCUGUGAAGAUAAUGACGGUAGCAGAGGAGGAAGCUCCGGCUAACUACGUGCCAGCAGCCGCGGUAAUACGUAGGGAGCGAGCGUUGUCCGGAUUUACUGGGUGUAAAGGGUGCGUAGGCGGGUAAGCAAGUCAGAAGUGAAAUCCAUGGGCUUAACCCAUGAACUGCUUUUGAAACUGUUAUUCUAGAGUAUGGGAGG